rnacentral:rRNA from 1 species
UACGUAGGGGGCAAGCGUUGUCCGGAUUUAUUGGGCGUAAAGAGCGUGUAGGCGGCCAGGUAGGUCUGCUGUGAAAACUCGAGGCUCAACCUCGAGAUGUCGGCGGAAACCAUCUGGCUAGAGUCCGGAAGAGGAGAAUGGAAUUCCCGGUGUAGCGGUGAAAUGCGCAGAUAUCGGGAAGAACACCCGUGGCGAAGGCGGUUCUCUGGGACGGUACUGACGCUGAGGAACGAAAGCCAGGGUAGCGAACGGG